UCGGAUAUGGUGUAACGGCUAACAUUACCGCCUCUCACGGUUUCAACAAUCGGGUUCGCGGUAGCUCGGGGUUCGAUUCCCCGUAUCCGAG